GAAAAUUGAAGAACAAAGAACACCUUUGGUGUUUUAAACAUUCGGCAGUUAGGAAGCUAAAAUUUGGUAUGUAUUUUGCUUGGAUUUUGAUAAUUUUUACGUUUUUGAGAUCGUUGCUUCGUAUACUUUAAAACCCAUGUCUUAAUUUUGUGAAUUGUGGAUAAUUUUGAAAUGUGUCAUUGAUGAAUGCUUGAGUUUUAUGAUGUUAAUAGGUGGAAAAUAAAUAUAUGUUGUUAGAUUUUCAUGUUAUAAUUAGUAAUUUUUGAUAAAAAUGUGUAUUAAGGACUAAAUUAAGAAAAUAUUAAAUUGAGGACUAGAAUGUGAAAUAAAUGACAUUCAAGGACCUAUAUGAGAUUAGGAGUAUUCGGCCAUACUAUAGUAAAAUUAAUUUGGAAUAUUUUGUGUUUUGUGCAAAAAAGGACUAAAUUGUGAAAAAUAUAAAAUUUUAGGGGCAAAAUUGUAAUUUUCCCAUUUAUGUGAAUUUAGGCUAAAUUUGAUGGAUAAUGUUUAAAUAAUUUUGAAUUUGAAUUUAUUUAGAUCAAGAAUUAAAGAAGUCGAAUUUGGAUCGGGGAAAAACAAAAGUAGUCGAAUAGUCGAACGUCUCCGUCUAUAUUCGAGGUAAGUCUAUUAGCUAUUUAAUGAUAUUAAAUUAGUAUAUAUGUAUGUAUAUCGAUUGUAGUUGUUGUUGAGCUUUAAUUUGAAGUAAUUUGAUUGAAUAAAUUAGAAUUAUAAAUGGUAUAUAUAUGUGUAUGAAGUGUUCGAAUAUAUAUAUGCUUAUAUAAAUUUUUGAAUUAAGUUAAAGUAGGAAUGC
rnacentral:lncRNA from 1 species